GUAGUUAUUUAUAACGUUAUAUUUAAAUAUUUUAUAAUGCAUAUAUUGAUUGUUCAUAAAUAUAUUGAAAAUUAAAAUGAGUAAUAUGUAUUAAUCGUAUAAUCAAAUGUGUAUAUAUUAAUGAUAUAUACACAAUAUAACGAAUAUAAAGCUAUCCUUUGGUUGUUCUAAUGUAAAUGCAUAGAUAUAGACUAAAAUAUCGUAACUAUUAGAAUUGUUUUAUUAUUACAUUUGAUUAUUUGAAGAAAACCUUACAUUUAGAAUAUUAUUAUAAAACUGCAUUAGGGAAGAGGGAACUUAUUUACUAUGAAAAAAACAUAUAAUAAACUGAAUUAUUGUUGUAUUUCUCAGUAAUACAACGAUCACAGUACUAAAAAUGCCAGAACGAGAAAGGAUGUAGUUAGGAGGUAGACUUAAAAAAUAUUUUUAGUUUGACCAAACAUACUAUAUAACGAUAAUGCACUGUUUUUUUGCUACGUAGUGGGUAACUGUAAUUAAUAUUAUAAGAACUACAACCAUUUUAUAUUUCUUCCUGUUGUUUUUUUAUAUACCUACUAUUUUAUAAUAAUAUGUGUUAUUAUCAACCUAUUCAAAAAAUUAUAACACUUUUAGAUUAUCGUGAAUUUCUGUAUUUCCUUUUCUUGUAUGGGUUAUUGUUUAGUCUAAUUGUUCUGGUCAUGUAUUUGAGGUAUAUUUCAGCCCAUUUUAUAUCAGGUAUAGGUUCAUCGGCUACGUUUAUAUGAUACACAUUUGGAAGGAUCCUGUAUCUGAUCUUAAUUCACUUUUGUUGAAACUAUUUAUUGUUUUUUGUCUACAAUAUGAAGCUGAUUUGUACAAAAUUGAUUCAUAGUUUAAUUUAUAUUUUGUAAUUUAUGAAUUUUAAUUAGUAUGUUUGAGUGUCUUGAACAUGAUGCUUUGAUAAUAUUUUUAGUAUCUAUGAUAAGUGAAUUGUUCGACAAAGAUUUGAUAUAAUAUUGCAAUAUAUGUAUUACGUUUGCGAGUCGACUAUUGGGUAUAAGUAGUUUUAUGUGGACACUGACUUAAUAUGUUCAUAUCACCGCUAGGGAAUAUUGAGUUAUGAUUCACAAAAAAAUGUUUCAUUAAGAUUGACUAAUAAUUCAUUUUGAAAAAUAGGUAAGCAUCAUAAAAAAAAAAAAAUCAAUAACAAACUGAGAUUUACGUGUAUUAUAAUUUAUCAUUUUAUAGAUGAAGCAUAUGAGAUCGAAACAGCAAAUGAUAAAAACGGUGAAAUCGUACCAUCUGUUAACAAUAAACAGUUUACAAAUGAUAAAUCACUUGAUAGCUUUAGAAGAGAAUUCAUAAACGAUUUCGUUCAGAAGGGAAACUCACAAUUUUUUGAAGCCCAAAUAGGUGCAUUAGAAUACUUAAGAGCAACAUCAGCAUUUUGUACAAAAUACAGCGUAUGUCCUACUUUUGAAGAUUGAUGUUAAAAGUAAUCAAAAGUAGUGCAAAAAAGGUAAAUAUUACUUUAAUAAUAUAAACUACCUAGGUACCAAAUAUUAACCAAGAAGUUGAUAAAUAUAUAGCUUAUGUUUAAUUUGGUGGCCUACUAUAUAAUACACAGAAUUUGUAACAGGAAGACCUGACAGAUAAAAUAACUUUAUUUCUAAUCAUUAUUUUUAUUUUAUUUUUAUUUUAUUUUUG